rnacentral:tRNA from 1 species
UGUUAAUGAGCUUGUAAAAGCAUAUAUUUUGAAAAUAUAAGAAAGGAAUUUAACUUCCUAUUAACUU